rnacentral:rRNA from 1 species
UACGUAGGGUGCAAGCGUUGUCCGGAAUUACUGGGCGUAAAGAGCGCGCAGGCGGCUGGUCAAGUCCGACGUGAAAUCUCCCGGCUUAACUGGGAAAUUGCAUCGGAAACUGAUCGGCUUGAAGGUGGGAGAGGGUAGCGGAAUUCCCGGUGUAGUGGUGAAAUGCGUAGAGAUCGUAAGGAAGACCAGUGGCGAAGGCGGGUCUCUGGACAGUUCCUGACACUGAGGCACGAAGGCCAGGGGAGCAAACGGG